CGCAGUGCGUACAUGUUGCAUGCCAUCAAAACAAUGAAACCUCAUUACUCAUAAUACUAUACAGAAAUCCAUCUCCAUUGCUUCCUGUAUAAGUACUAUUUGUCAUGAUUUGUCACUCGGCAAGUACCGUAAACAGAAGCAGUCACUCCCCCCGGCACUGAACAAAGACAGACAGACAGAAGGUCGAUUUAGAGUAACUGCUGUCACGUCCCAGCCAGUGCGUGCCGAAGAGGCAUUCCCCCCUGGACGUCUGUCAUUUUGAAUAUUAUCAGGGGGUGAAUGCCUCCCAAAAGCGCAUCAGCCAGGACCAUGGCGUUAGCAUUUUGAUGAUAAAUUACGAUCAUGCCAAAAUCAUUGGAAAAUCAUAGGAAAAACCAAGAAAUUGGGCUUCUGUAUGACCCAUCCUGCGCCCUGGUUAUGAUGCGCUACUGCUUAUAACUUUUGAUACAACUGGCUUUAGUAAAUUGACCCUUACUAAAAGGUAUUGAACAAUCAAACUCUCGACGAAGCAAAUUCGGUUUUAUAAAAUUAUAUUAUUGAAAAUCACUCACAGUUGUAUACGCGGUCUAGUCUCUCUCACAGUCCCACAGUCACUACAUUCCUAUCUUUUAACUCCUCUUCAUAAUAAUAUAAAUGUGUCAAUCAUGCAAUGUUCGUCCCUAAUUAAAGUAAUAAUUAAUCCUGCUAUUAAAUCACAAAUAUUAAGAUAUAUAUAGACAGUCUCCGACACACUCCCCCAUGCAAGUUAGGAGCUAAAUUGUAUGUUCCCUAAGGAGACUGCGCUUCUAAACUAUCGUGUUCGUGGAAAACAAAACUUGAAAAUGAAUCUAGUGUUAAUGUGUAAAUAUUAUAUAGUGUUCACAUAUCUUCUUCUUGAUCUUCUGCUAUGGCGGUUAUUUUUGCUCGUGCAUCUGCUGCGGCAGCUCUUUUCGGUACGAACGCUCGGGCUCCGGGGUUCAGUUGGACUCUGCCUUCGUUCGCGUUCCCUUUUGUGUCGCACUGGAGUUCUAGGGGAUCAUUACCAGAAAUAUGGGACAUUUUGCUCCCGCUUUUGUAGUCAGCGGCUAAGUCCGUUUUAUAUGCCCAACAUUGCCUAAUAUAAGUAAUUCGACUUCGCAUUUUACUUUGAAUCUCCAGUUCAAGUAUUAUUCAACCAAAAACUGUGAUUUUAAACCAUAUUUUGCAGUUUUUGCUGAUCACUUCCGGUAUUUUGACCUUUAACCCCGCAAAUUUUU